rnacentral:rRNA from 1 species
UACAGAGGUCUCAAGCGUUGUUCGGAUUCAUUGGGCGUAAAGGGUGCGUAGGCGGCGCGGUAAGUCGGGUGUGAAAUUUCGGAGCUUAACUCCGAAACUGCAUUCGAUACUGCGGUGCUUGAGGACUGGAGAGGAGACUGGAAUUCAUGGUGUAGCAGUGAAAUGCGUAGAGAUCAUGAGGAAGACCAGUGGCGAAGGCGGGUCUCUGGACAGUUCCUGACGCUGAGGCACGAAGGCCAGGGGAGCAAACGGG